GACGAACGCUGGCGGCGUGCUUAACACAUGCAAGUCGAACGGAAAGGCCCUGCUUUUGUGGGGUGCUCGAGUGGCGAACGGGUGAGUAACACGUGAGUAACCUGCCCUUGACUUUGGGAUAACUUCAGGAAACUGGGGCUAAUACCGGAUAGGAGCUCCUGCUGCAUGGUGGGGGUUGGAAAGUUUCGGCGGUUGGGGAUGGACUCGCGGCUUAUCAGCUUGUUGGUGGGGUAGUGGCUUACCAAGGCUUUGACGGGUAGCCGGCCUGAGAGGGUGACCGGCCACAUUGGGACUGAGAUACGGCCCAGACUCCUACGGGAGGCAGCAGUGGGGGAUAUUGCACAAUGCGCGGAAGCCUGAUGCAGCGACGCCGCGUGCGGGAUGACGGCCUUCGGGUUGUAAACCGCUUUCGCCUGUGACGAAGCGUGAGUGACGGUAAUGGGUAAAGAAGCACCGGCUAACUACGUG
rnacentral:rRNA from 1 species